CAAAGUGUGCUUUGUACACUUGCUGGUGCCAUUUGUGGCUGAGAAGAACUUUCUCGGAUUGCUUUGGAAUGAUGAAGAGUGUGUCUCUCAUCCAAGAACUGAAAUGAUACCUUCAGGUGAGUCCAGAGUCCAAAUCCUCAAAGGAGGGAUUUAGGAAAGGAUUCGAGAGGAUCAGGUUUAAACCAAACAAUCCCUUAAGAAGAAAUUCCAUUCAAGUUCUUUCUUUAAAACAGGAAAUUAAACAGAGUCAUUAUAAGGCAAACUCAAGAGAGUGGUAGCACCAUCCCUCCCAACUGUUAGUUGCAUGAAUUUCAUUUUGGGUCAUCUGUGAAUCGAAACUAUUUAAAUUUGAUCCCGUUAACCACGGCUCUUUUAAAGUACAACCAUCAGAAUUCUAGGCAAAAUGCAUCCUUUUAGAAGCAUAUAAUAUAUCCGAAGUACAACUCUUUGCAUAAUUAUCAAGAUUUAAGUCUCCUGUAGUAUUAUUUUAAGUAUUUUAUUAAAUUCAUGGGCCUAUUCCCAAAACUCUUGUAGCAGUGGACAGGGACAGAUUAUAGAACGUGAAUUCUUUCAAGACCCUAGUUGAGUUAACAUACUUUAUUAAAAUUACUUGAGGCAAGCCAGAAAGUAAAACUGGUAAAGCAGGCAUUGGUUGGCAUACUUUCCAGAUGUUUUUAUUUUUAAGUUUUCAUUAAGUGAUUAUCAGCAGAAUAGCAACAAGAUUGAAAUCCCUCCCAGUCAAUAACUCUCUCAGUUCCUUUCAACAAAGCGUUCACCCCACGACUGAAUUGCACAUUGUUCUAUAUGAACACAAGAAGAAAGACUUCAUACACAUCUUCUAAAAUUCUUGUCAGGGCAGAAUGUUGGUGCAAACUCCUCUUGAAACACUAAAUGAUGAAUGCUUAAAAUUAAU
rnacentral:lncRNA from 1 species